UACGACCACAUCCGGUUUAAACACCGGUUUCCGUACGAUCACCGAAGCUAAGCAACGUCGAACCUGGUCAGUACGUAGAUGCGUGCCCGCUUGGGAAUACUAAAUGAUGUAA